AAGGGUAUAGCUCAGUGGUAGAGUGCAUGCCUAGUAUGCACAAAGUCCUGGGUUCAAUCCCUGGUACCUCUG
rnacentral:tRNA from 1 species